rnacentral:rRNA from 1 species
ACCAAGGCGACGAUCGGUAGCCGGCCUGAGAGGGUGAUCGGCCACAUUGGGACUGAGAUACGGCCCAGACUCCUACGGGAGGCAGCAGUAGGGAAUAUUGCACAAUGGGGGAAACCCUGAUGCAGCAACGCCACGUGUGGGAAGAAGCAUUUCGGUGUGUAAACCACUGUCGUGAGGGAAUAAGGCUGAGUUUCGGCUCAGUUGAAUGUACCUCGAGAGGAAGCACCGGCAAACUUCGUGCCAGCAGCCGCGGUAAUACGAGGGGUGCAAGCGUUGUUCGGAAUCACUGGGCGUAAAGGGAGCGCAGGCGAAGCUCAAGCGGAUUGUACAAUACCGGGGCCCAACCCCGGACCUGCAGUCCGAACUGGGUUUCUUGGAUAGUUCAGGGGCAAGCGGAAUUCCUGGUGUAGCGGUGGAAUGCGUAGAGAUCAGGAAGAACACCGAUGGCGAAGGCAGCUUGCUGGGGACUUAUCGACGCUCAUGCUCGAAAGUGCGGGUAGCAAACAGGAUUAGAUACCCUGGUAGUCCGCACCGUAAAC